CUACGGGACGCAGCAGUGGGGAAUACCGCACAAUGGAGGAAACUCUGAUGCAGCAACGCCGCGUGGAGGAUGACACUUUUCGGAGCGUAAACUCCUUUUAUAUAGGAAGAAGAUGACGGUACUAUAUGAAUAAGCGCCGGCUAACUCCGUGCCAGCAGCCGCGGUAAUACGGAGGGCGCAAGCGUUACUCGGAAUCACUGGGCGUAAAGAGCGUGUAGGCGGAUUAAAAAGUCAGAAGUGAAAUCCUAUAGCUUAACUAUAGAACUGCUUCUGAAACUCUUAAUCUAGAAUAUGGGAGAGGUAGAUGGAAUUUCUGGUGUAGGGGUAAAAUCCGUAGAGAUCAGAAGGAAUACCGAUUGCGAAGGCGAUCUACUAGAACAUUAUUGACGCUGAGACGCGAAAGCGUGGGGAGCAAACAGGAUUAGAUACCCCUGUAGUC
rnacentral:rRNA from 1 species